ensembl:lncRNA
GACCAGGUGGGGCAGGAAUUGGACCUGGUGGGGCAGGAGUUGGACCGGGUGGAACUGGUUUUGGACCAGGUGGGGCAGGAGUUGGACCAGGUGGAACUGGUUUUGGACCAGGUGGGGCAGGAGUUGGACCAGGUGGAACUGGGUUUGGACCAGGCGGGGCAGGAGUUGGACCAGGUGGAACUGGUUUUGGACCAGGCGGGGCAGGAGUUGGACCAGGUGGAGUUGGACCAGGUGGAACCGGGUUUGGACCAGGUGGGGCAGGAGUUGGACCAGGUGGAGUUGGACCAGGUGGAACCGGGUUUGGACCAGGUGGGGCAGGAGUUGGACCAGGUGGAAUCGGUUUUGGCCCAGGUGGGGCAGGAGUUGGACCAGGGGGU